GCCCAUGUUGCUCAGUGGAUUGAGUGUUAGCCUACACACCAAAGGGUCAUGGGUUCAAUUCCCUGUCAAGGGCA
rfam:Myotis lucifugus cont2.34427, whole genome shotgun sequence.